CCACGGAGCAGCCGAGGACUCGGAGGGGGCACGGCCAGUCCACCACCACACACCCGUUACAAACGCAACCUUUCAACGAAAUUAUCUCAAUCAUCAGCCAUCUAACUGCAUAUGGAUUCACACUUCAUUAGCCCGUCCCAAGAGGCAACCCUCAAUGGAUUAGCAAAAGGGAAAAAAAAUCCAAACCAUCACUCCGCUCUCCUCGACGACCAGCCACAGCACCGCCCCAGCUGCUGGGCGCCACGGUGGCGAGAUGUGAACUACCUCGUCUCGUGUGCAGGAAGUCGUCGGUUCGAGCCCGACCCUUGACACGUGCUGUAUAAAGAGUUUC